UAAGUUACAUGGCUCUUUCUGCAAUUUUACAAGCCACACAAAAGAAACUUGUUUCAAGCUGAAUGGUGUGCCAGAUAGGUGUAAGGAACUACAAGAAAAAAAGAAGAUGACAAGAGGAAGAAAUGUGGCUAAUAUGGCAGAAACAGCGGCUGAGGCAAAUGAAAAUGAGGAUUCAUUCAUGAACACCGAAUUGGGUGGAAAGAUACAAAGCAUGAUUCAAAUAGGUAUGAAAAACUCAUGAAAGGGAAAGGAUCUGCAGAAGGUAUUGUGGUGAACAUGACUCAUUUUACUGAUUUUGCAGGUAUAACUUUAUCUCAAUUUGUGUUUGGUGCAUUAAGUUUAUUGGAGGGAAGUAGUUGGAUUGUUGAUACAGGACCUUCAGACAAUGGGAAAGGUGGUCAGCAGAUUAUACAUCUUAGAUUCAACCUUCUUCAAACCAGGCCUUUUGUCACAUUACACAAAUUUUAUCAAGUACCAACACACACCAACAAAGUCUUUACCCUUUGAUUCACAUUGUAAUAACUUUAUUGUUGUUUAUUCCGGUGAUGAAAUUUCUACUCAGAUUCUUGUUCUUUGGCAUCAACAACUUGGACAUGUAUCUCCUGCUGUUAUGACUCGUUUACCUUUCUUGUCUCACAAAAAUGAUUUGCAUUUACCUAUUUGUAAUGUGUCAUUUAGCCAAACAGCAACGAAUAAGUUUUCAGAAAAGUGUUUAACAUGCUUUCAAAAUUUUUGAAUUAUUGCACAUUGAUGUUUGGGGAUCAUAUGUUCAGUAAUCUAUGUCAAAUGCUCAUUAUUUUCUGACCUUAGUUGAUGAUUUUAGCAGAGCUACUUGGACCUUCUUAUUUACCUAUAAAACACAGGUUGCUUCCAUUCUUUCACAUUUCUUUAAAAUGGUAAGUAACCAAUUCAAUGCUACCAUUAAAAUUGUGUGUUCAGAUAAUGGAACCGAGUUUACUAAUGAAACUUGAAAAGAUUUAUUUUCUUCUCUUGGCAUUAUUCACCAACGUUCCAUUCCUUACUCACCUCAAUAAAAUGGUAAAGUUGAAAGAAAGCACAAAUAGAUUUUACAAAUUGCCAGAGCUUUUCUUUUUCAGUCAGGGUUUACCACUACCUUUUGGGGUGAGUCCAUUUUGAUGGCCAACCAUAUCCUAAACAGAUUGCCCACUUCUGUUCUCAAUUGGUAAACACCUUUUGAAGCCCUUUAUAGUAAACCACCAGACUACGGUUCACUUAAAAUCUGUGGAUGUCUUGUUACAUUUCAAACACCUUACCUCAAAAAUCCAAAGUUGAUCUUAGAGCUCACAUAUGUAUAUUCUUAGGUUAUAAGGUCAGAAAGGGUAUAAGGUUCAUGACCUUAGUUCAUAUAAAAUUUUGAUGUGUAGAGACAUUACUUUUUAUGAGUACAUUUUUCCUUUUAAACAUCAAUGUCAAGAUUCUACAGCCAUCCUUCUUCCAAUAUCUGAUGAUUUUCUCAUUAAUGGAUCUGAUACAAACCAUUUGAUUGAUACUUCUGUUUCUACUUCACCUCUUUUGUCUCCUAAUACUUUUGAUAUUUCAUUUCAUCACCUACCACAGUUGAUUCCUCACCAGUUCCAGCACUUAUUUACAGUCUGCUGAGUUUUUUCCACUAUUACGACGUAGCACCAGAGUUACUAAGCCUCCUGCCUGGUUAAAGGAUUUUGCAUCUACAGUUGUACAGCCAGUUUCUCAUUGCCAACACUCAUCAGUCACCAAGGUACAAAGCGAGGUUGGUAGCAAAAGACUGUAAUCAAAUAGAAGGAAUUGAUUAUACAGAUUUCUUUUCACCUGCUGCGAAGCUAGUUACUGAAAGAAUUUUCUUGGUGAUGGCCACUGCUAAGAGCUGGGUUGUUCAUUAAAUUGAUAUCAACAAUGCCUUUCUAUAUGGCACGUUGAAUGAGGAGGUAUAUACGAUACCACUAGAAGGGUAUAAGAAAGCAACAGCUGGUCAGGUUUGCAAGCUCAGAAAAUCACUGUAUGGACUCAAACAAGCCUCACUCUGAUGCACACGUGCUUAUUUUAGGAGAAUGACUGUACAAUUGUCGCCAUAGGCUAAUUGUCAAUGUCACUGAAUUUGUCGAUGCUCUUGUAGAGUGUGACUUCAUACUUGUCUCUGGGUGGUGAGAUAUUUUGGGCUGGUCAGCACCGAAAGUCCAGAAUUGGUUACUGUGCUCAAUAUGAAACGGAUAAGAUGGUUGCAACAGCACAAGUUGCUAGCACAGGAAUGGUUGCUCUUAGCUAUGGUCAGAAGGUAUGUGAGAAGGUUUCUCUAGCAUCUGAUUUCAUGUACAAAGUUAUAUGUCAAGAGAUGUCACAGCUAGUGUCGGUUAUGAUUACAUCCUAAGGCAGGUAGUGGACUUGUUGGUACUCCGCUUUUGUCUAUAUGGUCCCUUGGUGCGGCGCAAGGUAGUGGACUUGUUGGUACUCCGCUUUUGUCUAUAUGGUCCCUUGGUGCUUUCGGAAGUAUAACAUUUGUUACUCAUAGUCUGUUGGUCUUGUCUAAAUUACUGAAGAUAAUUGGUGAGAGUCAUCUUUUGAAUUUAAAAGUUUCAGUUAUGAUAUAUAUAUAUAUAUAUUUAUACAUAUGUUCAUUAACUUAGAUUUCUUCAUUUGAAGUGUCAAGUUGUUUUAAAGAAUGAGAAGAAUAUAACUAAUAUUUUCUACAUUGACUCUUCAUGGUUGUUUCAAUGUCGUCUUAGGGGAAAGAUCAAUUAAAUAUAUAUCGUUGUCAAAUUUAAACGACUAAACACUAUAUUAGACUGUAUUAUUAAAAAUAAUUGUUAUAUUGUCCAUUUCUUGGAGGGAUAAGAGUAUUGUUUUACAAAUAUUUACAUGGUAGGUUGUAAAUAUAUAAGUGUAUAACAAUGACAGAAUAAUUAAUGGGGUUGUAAGGCGAAAGAGCUACAGCUAUUAAAGGGUGUUUCGGUCGGCAGAUGAAAUAGUUCUAUUAAUGUCUCUCAUUUGUUCUUUGCCAACAAUACUCUGAUUUUUUGCCAACCUGAUAUCAGAAAUCUUUUGCGUUUGAAAUGACAUUACUCUGCUUCCAAGUUGUAUCGAGGUUAAAGAUUAAUUUGGCAAAAUUUGAGCCAGCCAAGAUCGUUGAUGAUGCAGACAUCAACGUGUUUGCAGAGGUACUGGGCUGUAAAGCAGUAAAUCUUCCUUUGAAAUAUUUUGGGUGCAAAAUAUAAAGAAAAAAUCACUUGGGUUAUUGAACUAUUUGAGAAAAGACUUGCAGAGUUGGAAGCUUAAUUUCUUGUCAAAAAAUGGAAGACUUACUUUAAUCAAAAGUACAUUACUCAAUCUUCUUAUCUACUAUUUUUCCACUCUUACAAUUCUAAUUAACAUUGCAAAAAAAGCUGGAAACAAUUCAAUGUAGAUUACUUUCGGGUAAUGAGUUAGACAAUUAGAAGUAUCAUUGGGUGAAAUGGAAGGAAAUUAAUGUUGAUGCGUCUUAAAUUUUGGUGAUAUUUAUUUGUAUU